UGUGGCUCAGUUGGUAGAGCGCUUGCCUAGCAUGUGUGAGACACUGGGUUCGAUUCUCAGCA
rnacentral:tRNA from 1 species